AACGAACGCUGGCGGCGUGGAUAAGACAUGCAAGUCGAGCGCUGAUUACGGGGUAGCAAUAUUCCGUGGUCGGAGCGGCGCAAGGGUGCGUAACACGUGGGUAAUCUGCCAUGAAGUUUGGAAUAACUCGCUGAAAGGCGAGCUAAUGCCGGAUGUGAAAGUCGGGAGGCAUCUCCUGAUUUUUAAAGCUGGGGACCGUAAGGCCUGGCGCUUCAUGAUGAACCCGCGGCCUAUCAGCUAGUUGGUGAGGUAACGGCCCACCAAGGCUAAGACGGGUAGCUGGUCUGAGAGGACGACCAGCCACACUGGAACUGAGACACGGUCCAGACACCUACGGGAGGCUG
rnacentral:rRNA from 1 species